GAAAAACGCAAGAGACGUGCCUAACACAUGCAAAUUUAAUAGUUAAUUAUAUUUUAAUUAUAGUGAAUUGGUGAGUAAUAUAUGAAAAUUUAAUUUUAGAUUAGAAGUACUCCUAAUAACUUAGGGUUAAUCUCUGAUAAGCGCAAUUGUGCUUUAAAAAGUUAAUACUGUCUAAAAAAAAGUUCAUAUCUGAUUAGCUAGUUAGUAAGGUAAUAGCUUACUAAGGCGAAGAUCAGUAGCUGCCCUGAGAGGGGGAUCAGCCACAUUGGGAUUGAAAUACAGCCCAAACUCCUACGGGAGGCAGCAGUAGGGAAUCUUCGGCAAUGGACGCAAGUCUGACCGAGCAACGCCGCGUGAGUGAAGAAGGUUUUCGGAUCGUAAAGCUCUGUUGUUAGAGAAGAACAAGUGGAAUAGUAACUGAUUUCACCAUGACGGUAUCUAACCAGAAAGCCACGGCUAACUACGUGCCAGCCGC
rnacentral:rRNA from 1 species